AAUAAAAUAAAAAUAUGUGAGCAACUCUUAAACCUAAACUCGCGUUCGACAACCCCAAACCCCUUCUUCGCGUUCGUCGUCGUCCGCUUUUGUGGUUGAGUAGUCUGCCGUUGACCCUCUUCAGCUCUGGCCGUUUGCAACACCGGUCGUCCGUGCGCCGUCUCCUGUCUUUAACGGCCGUCCGUUCGCAGCGCCCUCAUCCGUCCAUUCUCUGCCUUAAUUUUCGUUUUUAGGGAUCUGUCCGUUCGUGUCUUCAACCCAGAAAAUUCAUCCAUUCUCCGCCAAAGUCUUCGAUUUCUGUUUGUUUUACAGCCAUUGUUCGUUCAUGUUUGUCUUUAGCAUUUUAGUCUUCGAUUUGUCAGAUCGACAUGGGAGCUGGUUUUGAGGACGAGAGGAGGGUCCUGAAUUCCAAGCUUUGGCAUGUGUGUGCGGGUCCUCUUGUUUCUUUGUCGGCUGUUGGUAGUCAGGUUGUUUACUUUCUUCAAGGUCAUAGUGAGCAGGCCGUCAAAAUGGUGGUAAACAAAUGAGUCUUGAUUUGAAACUUGAAAUAAUGAAGUCUCUGCAUGAACCAACUGAAGUGGUGAAGCUACAAAAAGAGUUCGGGUAGAAAAUUCUCUCAAUUUCUCUCAUUGUCUCUUGCCAAAAUUAAGUAGAAGUCCACACCUCUGCACGAUUCUCGUCCCCGAGAAUAACAAGGAAGACCUCGUGAUGGUGUCGUCUUCAUUCCGUAUGGUGUGUUCGUGGUGUCGGGUUUGGGAGAUCAAGAAGAGAUCGAGCAAGUUCAUACUAUGGAAAGGAAAUUCAAAAAUAUAGAUCUUCAAGGGUAUGUAUUGUUCAAUCCCUCUUCUCCAAUUUCACAGUAGUAGCAUGCUUGAUUUAAUAAUGUUUAUCAAUUGUUUUCGUCACUCUGAAUUUUGUAUGCUCUCUAAAAUGAAUUUAGAGAAUGAUGCAUUAAAUUGCUUUUACUGUGGGUAUUCAAAUUUCCUUCAAUUGGUAUCAGAGCCAGGUUGAGUCUCUAAAUUUCAUUUUUCGAACAUUAGUUCAGAGUUAUUGGGAGGUGUAUGAUCUGCAUUUGAAAUGUAUGUUAUAGGUUUUACACAUUGGACGUUUUGAAAUUGGCCUAGAAUUUACUGCUUUAAAGGUGUUUAAAGUUGUAAUUGCCCGAUGUUUUGGGUAUUUAAAUUCUUGUAAUCGAGUAUGUAAUUGUCCAUGUCGUUAGUGAUGUCGUUCUGGCUUCGAUUUGGAGAAUUUUGGAGCAAGAACAGAGCAAAUUGAAUGAACGAGUGAAGCAGAGCAAAAUUUCUCCCUUACAGCGUCGCAACGCUCCAGCCAUAGCGUUGCAACGCUACAUGCAGUGUGGCCCAACGUUGUGACAGCAUAAAAGCCUGCGUUGCAACGUUAGUAAUAAAGCAUUGCGAUCCUCUGGAUGGUCAACGUGCAUGGAGCAUGAUACCACCUUAGUAAAAUUAUAAAUGUAUUAUAGGUUUUACACAUUGGACAUUUUGAAAUUGGCCUAGAAUUUAUUGCUUUAAAGGUAUUUAAAGUUGUAAUUGCCCGAUGUUUUGGGCAUUUAAAUUCUUGUAAUUGAGUAUGUAAUUGUCCAUGUCGUUAGUGAUGUCGUUCUGGCUUCGAUUUGGAGAAUUUUGGAGCAAGAACAGAGCAAAUUGAAUGAACGAGUGAGGCAAAGCAAACUUUCUCCCUUACAGCGUCGCAACGCUCCAGUCGUAGCGUUGCAACGCUACAUGCAAUGUGGCCCAAUGUUGUGGCAGCAUAAAAGCCAACGUUGCAACAUUAGUAAUAAAGCAUUGCGAUCCUCUGGAUGGUCAACGUGCAUGGAGUAUCAUACCACCUUAGUAAAAUUAUAAUUAUUAUAAUUUUUUUUUACAGAAUGUCAUUAGAUACAUGUUUAGGUUUUAAUUAUUUCAUUAAUUCUUUAUAAGUGUUACAAGUUUAAUGUGAUUAGAAUUAAAAUCUAUGAUAAAGAGUUGAAUGCA